GAUGAACGCUGGCGGCGUGCCUAAUACAUGCAAGUAGAACGCUGAAGCUUGGUGCUUGCACCGAGCGGCUGAGUUGCGAACGGGUGAGUAACGCGUAGGUAACCUGCCUCUUAGCGGGGGAUAACUAUUGGAAACGAUAGCUAAUACCGCAUAAAAGUCGAUAUCGCAUGAUAUUGAUUUGAAAGGUGCAAAUGCAUCACUAAGAGAUGGACCUGCGUUGUAUUAGCUAGUUGGUGAGGUAACGGCUCACCAAGGCGACGAUACAUAGCCGACCUGAGAGGGUGAUCGGCCACACUGGGACUGAGACACGGCCCAGACUCCUACGGGAGGCAGCAGUAGGGAAUCUUCGGCAAUGGGGGCAACCCUGACCGAGCAACGCCGCGAGAGUGAAGAAGGUUUUCGGAUCGUAAAGCUCUGUUGUAAGAGAAGAACGAGUGUGAGAGUGGAAAGUUCACACUGUGACGGUAACUUACCAGAAAGGGACGGCUAACUACGUG
rnacentral:rRNA from 1 species